CGCAUUCCGCGUGACUGGCGAAAACCCGGCAAUCGUCUUACCGGGGCGUGGGGAACCACGAGGGAGCGCGGAACCAUAUCGGGCCAUAGGGCCAAGCCGUUCGCCUGGGCAGCUUUU
rnacentral:ncRNA from 1 species